GGCGACGUACCCAAGUGGCUAAGGGAGCGGUCUGCAAAACCGUUAUGCACCGGUUCAAGUCCGGUCGUCGCCUC
rnacentral:tRNA from 1 species